rnacentral:lncRNA from 1 species
AUAAAGGUAUGUUUUGGUUCAUAAAUCUGUUCAGUGUUGCUCACAUGCCAUUAAUGUGGAAGGAAUAUAUGAUCCUCCCACUGGAAGCAUUGCAAAUCACAAGGUAAUGGGUAGGAAUGCACAGUCAUUUUGGAGGGUUGGAAGAAGUGGCAGUAAUAGAUUCUAUCUCUUGCUACCGUUGCAGAAUUUUCUCCUUAGUUUGGCUAAAACCAGUCUCUUGUCAUACGACCAGGAAAGAUAAGGCUCGCGGACAUAAAGAAGGGUGAGGAAAAUGGAAUUUACUGGGUGAAAAGGAUAAUGGAAAAAUAACUCUCAGCAAAGCAAGAGAGAGUCCCGCUAGCAUGUUUCCUGCCUCACAGAUUGAAUUCCAGGUCACCACCCAGGAACUGAAGAGGCCAGGCUCCUCCCCACUGCGAACCAGCGCAAACUUCCUGAAGCUCCACCCUGUCCUCCCAGUGCGCAGAGUGGAAAACAAAGACUGAUGACGAUUCCUGCACUCACCUCCCGGAUCAAACCGACAAUUACCCAGCAGGUGUCCCAGAGCAUUACAGCUUUUCAGAGGAACAACUUCUGUAUAUGCGUAUGUGUUUAAGCAAAUGUUUAUUUGUCACCCUUUACCUUAAUUACAGCUACUUAUUUCCAAGUGGUUAUUUCAACUGAAAGGCAGAAGGGCUGUAGGAAUGAAGCAUGUCAGACUCUCUGAAAGUGUGAGUAACAAUGGAAAUGCAAAGUAUUCUUAGCAUUG